UACGUAGGUGGCAAGCGUUGUCCGGAUUUACUGGGCGUAAAGGAUGCGUAGGCGGAUAUUUAAGUCAGAUGUGAAAUUCCCGAGCUUAACUUGGGAGCUGCAUUUGAAACUGGGUAUCUAGAGUGUGGGAGAGGAAAGUGGAAUUCCUAGUGUAGCGGUGAAAUGCGUAGAGAUUAAGGAAGAACCCCAGUGGCGAAGGCGACUUUCUGGACCAUAACUGACGCUGAGGCAUGAAAGCGUGGGAGCAA
rnacentral:rRNA from 1 species